AUUAGUAUAUUUUUAAAAAAUAAUAAAAUAUUACAUGUGACAUGCUACUUGAACUCUCAUAUUUUGAUUUUUAAAAAUUGAUCAAAUUAAAUUACAUUCAAAUGUUACUCGGCCGAUUCAUUCAAAAUUUAAAUAUUUAAAUUAAAAUAUAAAAUAACGUAAAUAUAAUUGAGUCUUUUUUAAUCAAUUAGCUUUUAUUUUAUAGUAUGCUAUAACAGACAUGUAGAACUAAGACCAUUAAAAUACAGAAACAGAAAAGUAGAUGUAUGAUUUGUUCAAUUCAACAAUAUGGCUUAUGUCCACGAAAAUUCCAUGAGAAAAAGUUUAACUAUAAUAACGUAGAGUUAGUCUAAAGUCCCAACUUUAAUGUGUUUCUCAAAUUUCUCACAAUUAAUAUUCUCGCAAUAGAAAGAAAAUUACAGUAUUUUAUACUAUUUAAUACCUUUCAUUACUAAAAAAAUCUCACAAAAUAUAUAUUUGAUUUAGGAUAGUAGAUCUUUUCGUGAAUGUAAGUGCAUGUAACCCAAAUUCAAAUGCAUGAUACCAUGUCCAAAUUGAUCAUAAAUAACAUAGCUUAUGGGCAAAUUAUAGGCUUAGCAUUCACGUUUCACAAUUUAAGAAACAUCAUCAUUCAUAUGAAUGG
rnacentral:lncRNA from 1 species